rnacentral:lncRNA from 1 species
ACUUUUCUUUGUGCAUAGAACCACUGAGGAACAACCUUACUUACAAAAUGGCAGACCAUGACGCACACGCCGAUACUCCCCCUGCAGGUGAUUCUCCCUGUGGAAAGGGACAAGGGGAGCACAAGCAUGGAGGGGAACAUGGGCAUAAGCAUGGAGGGGAACAUGGGCAUAAGCAUGGAGGGGAACAUGGGCAUAAGCAUGAAGGGGAACAUGGGCAUAAGCAUGGAGGGGAACAUGGGCAUAAGCAUGAAGGGGAACAUGGGCAUAAGGACCAUGGACAUAAGAAGGGAGAAGGAGACAAGCAAUGCUCCAAGUCUGGCCAAUGCAAGGGAAAGGACAACCAUUAAAUCCAAGCAUCAGAGACAUCAUCCCUGCAGUUAUUCUCAGUUCAAAAGAUAUUAAAUAAAUUUUAUUUUAAAACAAUUUUAUACAUGUAAAGACCAAUAAUAAUCACAAAUGGUUAUCUAUUGUAUUAAGCUACUAGGAUAUUUGAAAAACUACAAUUCGAUUUUUGAUGUGAAAAACAAGCUUUAGUUCUAGAAAAUUUAAAUCUCAAUUCUAAAUUGUGACUUGAACUUUUUUACAAAAAUAAAAAGGGGUAAUAAAAAAUGAUAUCA